AUCACUUCUCAGCCUUUUGGCUAAGAUCAAGUGUAGUAUCUAAAAACCUACAUGAUUCAAAAAACAUGAAUGUACAUGUCUCCUUUAUAUCAACUGUUUAGGAUUCUCUACUAUCUUCAAAGCUUAGCUCACAUUCU
ensembl:snRNA U2 U2 spliceosomal RNA